CCGGCAGGUUCCCAGCCAAGGCUGGGGUCACUGGCAUGUAAAAGGAUCCAGCUCCCGAGGUUCAGGGAAGUAGGCAGGGCGUGCAGAUUCCACAUCUCUGAGG